rnacentral:rRNA from 1 species
UUUUAUGGAGAGUUUGAUCCUGGCUCAGGAUGAACGCUGGCGGCGUGCCUAAUACAUGCAAGUCGAGCGAACAGACGAGGAGCUUGCUCCUCUGACGUUAGCGGCGGACGGGUGAGUAACACGUGGAUAACCUACCUAUAAGACUGGGAUAACUUCGGG